rnacentral:rRNA from 1 species
AGUCAACGCUGGCGGCGUGCCUAACACAUGCAAGUCGAACGCGAAAGGGACUUCGGUUCUUAGUAGAGUGGCGUACGGGUGAGUAACGCGUGGGUCAUCUGCCCUCGGGUGGGGAAUAACUAACCGAAAGGUUAGCUAAUACCGCAUAACACAGUGAUGUCAAAGCAGCAAUGUGCCCGAGGAGGAGCCUGCGUCUGAUUAGGUAGUUGGUGGGGUAACGGCCUACCAAGCCUGCGAUCAGUAGCUGGUCUGAGAGGACGGCCAGCCACAAUGGCACUGAGACACGGGCCAUACUCCUACGGGAGGCAGCAGUGGGGAAUUUUGCGCAAUGGGCGAAAGCCUGACGCAGCAACGCCGCGUGAGGGAUGAAAUAUUUCGGUAUGUAAACCUCGCAAAUAUGGGAAGAACACAAUGACGGUACCAUAUGUAAGCCACGGCUAACUUCGUGCCAGCCGCCGCGGUAAUAC